rnacentral:rRNA from 1 species
AGCUCCAAUAGCGUAUAUUAAAGUUGUUGCAGUUAAAAAGCUCGUAGUUGGAUUUCUGGUAGAAUAUUCGAUCCCUCUGAUGAGUGCGAUCGAAAGUUUUACCAUCCUUCUGUUAACCUUGGAGGCUUUUACGGUCUCCCUGGGGCUCAGAUAUUUUACCUUGAGAAAAUUAGAGUGUUUCAGGCAGGCUAGCGCCGGAAUACAUUAGCAUGGAAUAAUAGAAUAGGACUUUUGCCUCUUCUGUUGGUCAUGGGGUUUAAGUAAUGAUUAAUAGGGAUAGUUGGGGGCAUUAGUACUUCACUGUCAGAGGUGAAAUUCUCGGAUUUGUGAAAGACUAACUUAUGCGAAAGCAUUUGCCAAGGAUGUUUUCA